rnacentral:lncRNA from 1 species
GCUGAAGGAUAAUGUAGGGCUCAUUGUCUCCCCAGCUGCAGGUAAUUGGGAAGAGCUGCUAUAAGAGAGGGGGCAGUUCUGGGAGAUGUGAGCAGGGCUAGGAGCAGGUAGGGAAGGGAAGGGAAGGGAAGGGAAGGGAAGGGAAGGGCCUUAUCUUAUGAGGAUUUAAUGGUGAGGUGUUGGAAGUGAGAGAGAAAAAGGGAAGAGGGACAGCAGGCCUAUGUAGAUCCAACCUGCAGCACUCCAAGGGGAACUGAGGUGUCCCAACCCUGUCCUGGGGUGAGGAUGUGGCUGUUGGAUGGGGACACUGGUGCUGUGAGGCUGGGAAGGCUGCAGGGCAAGCUGAACAGCAAACGUGUGAUGUGAGCAGUGUGCUGAUGGAGGAGCAGCUUAGAAGACAGGGAAGAGCCCCUGUGUCUGCCCUGAAAUGCAGCGUGGUUGGGAAAGCCAAGGAACUCGUGCUGAGCCCAUGCCUGAGCAGCAUUGCUACAGAGAACUGAGGAUUUGUCACCAAGCACCAAAUCGAUGGGGUCUGCCUGAUGGGAGAGCAGUCUAUGACAAAGAGAAGAAUCCUGUUUGGGUCAAAAGGAUGCAUUUUUAGGAAUGCAGGUUUCAAGUCCAAGCCUGCUGGUGAUCUGUCCUUGCAGUCUCUGUUAUGUACUGAAAGAUUCAUUAAGAAGACAUGAGAAAGGGAGAACCAGGAUGGGAGAUGCGAUGAAAAGCCUAUUAGUUAUCCCAGCAACAUGAGACACAGCUCAUAGAUUGGUUUCCAUUCUAAAGAGCAAAACCAAA